rnacentral:rRNA from 1 species
AGUGAACGCUGGCGGUAGUUCUAACACAUGCAAGUCCAACUGCAUCACAUUUAUUGUUUGCUCUUACGGGUGGCGAGUGGCGGACGGGUGAUGUAUACAUCGGAAUCUACUUUUUCGUGGGUGUUAACGUAGGGAAACUUACGCUAAUACCUUAUACUACUUUCUGCUGAAAGCAUGAGAUCUUCGGACCUUGCGCGAUUGAAUGAGCCGAUGUCGGGCUAGCUAGUUGGCUGGGUAAACGCCCACCAAGGCGACGAUCCGUAGCUGGUCUGAGAAGAUGAUCGGCCACACUGGAACUGGGACACGGUCCAGACUCCUACGGGAGGCAGCAGUGGGGAAUAUUGGGCAAUGGGCGCAAGCCUGAUCCAGCCAUACCGCGUGGGUGAAGAAGGCAUUCGGGUUGUAAAGCCCUUUUGUUGGGAAAAAAAAGCAGCAGGUUAAUACCCCGAUGUUCUGACGGUACCCAAAGAAUAAGCACCGGAUAACUUAGUG